rnacentral:rRNA from 1 species
CCUACGGGAGGCAGCAGUGGGGAAUUUUGGACAAUGGGCGCAAGCCUGAUCCAGCAAUGCCGCGUGCAGGAUGUAGGCCUUCGGGUUGUAAACUGCUUUUGUACGGAGCGAAAAGGUUUCCACUAAUACUGGGGGCUCAUGACGGUACCGUAAGAAUAAGCACCGGCUAACUACGUGCCAGCAGCCGCGGUAAUACGUAGGGUCCAAGCGUUAAUCGGAAUUACUGGGCGUAAAGCGUGCGCAGGCGGUUAUGUAAGACAGAUGUGAAUUCCCCGGGCUUAACCUGGGAACUGCAUUUGUGACUGCAUAGCUAGAGUACGGUAGAGGGGGAUGGAAUUCCGCGUGUAGCAGUGAAAUGCGUAGAUAUGCGGAGCAACACCGAUGGCGAAGGCAAUCCCCUGGACCUGUACUGACGCUCAUGCACGAAAGCGUGGGGAGCAAACAGGAUUAGAUACCCUGGUAGUCCACGCCCUAAACGAUGUCAAGUG